UACGUAGGGGGCGAGCGUUAUCCGGAUUUACUGGGUGUAAAGGGAGCGUAGACGGCCAUGCAAGCUCGGUGUGAAAGGUGCGGGCACAACCCGCAGACUGCACUGAGAACUGUAUGGCUGGAGUGCCGGAGGGGCAGGCGGAAUUCCUGGUGUAGUGGUGAAAUGCGUAGAUAUCAGGAGGAACACCGGUGGCGAAGGCGGCCUGCUGGACGGCGACUGACGUUGAGGCUCGAAAGCGUGGGGAGCGAACAGG
rnacentral:rRNA from 1 species